rnacentral:rRNA from 1 species
CCUACGGGUGGCAGCAGUGAGGAAUAUUGGUCAAUGGACGAGAGUCUGAACCAGCCAAGUAGCGUGAAGGAUGACUGCCCUAUGGGUUGUAAACUUCUUUUAUAUGGGAAUAAAACGUUCCACGUGUGGGAUUUUGUAUGUACCAUAUGAAUAAGGAUCGGCUAACUCCGUGCCAGCAGCCGCGGUAAUACGGAGGAUCCGAGCGUUAUCCGGAUUUAUUGGGUUUGAAGGGAGCGUAGGUGGAUUGUUAAGUCAGUUGUGAAAGUUUGAGGCUCAACCGUAAAAUUGCAGUUGAAACUGGCAGUCUUGAGUACAGUAGAGGUGGGCGGAAUGCGUGGUGUAGCGGUGAAAUGCUUAGAUAUCACGAAGAACUCCGAUUGCGAAGGCAGUUCACUGGACUGCAACUGACACUGAGGCUCGAAAGUGUGGGUAUCAAACAGGAUUAGAUACCCUGGUAGUC